UACGGAGGGUGCGAGCGUUAUCCGGAAUUACUGGGUUUAAAGGGUGCGUAGGCGGGCUUGUAAGUCAGUGGUGAAAGCCCGGAGCUUAACUCCGGAACUGCCAUUGAUACUGCAAGUCUUGAGUACACUUGAGGUGGGCGGAAUACAUCAUGUAGUGGUGAAAUACUUAGAUAUGAUGUAGAACACCGAUUGCGAAGGCAGCUCACUAAAUUGUAACUGACACUGAGGCACGAAAGCGUGGGGAUCAAACAGG
rnacentral:rRNA from 1 species